rnacentral:tRNA from 1 species
AGAUAUUUAUUCUAAAAAGAUAGCUGAUUUCGACUUAGCUGAUUUUGGUUAACUCCAAAAAUAUCUU